GAACUUCAAGUGUUUACAUGAGCUGGUGAAACAUGAAGAAAAUGGCCUGGUCUUUGAGGACUCAGAGGAACUGGCAGCUCAGCUGCAGAUGCUUUUCUCAAACUUUCCUGAUCCUGCGGGCAAGCUAAACCAGUUCUGGAAGAACCUGCGGGAAUCGCAGCAGCUCCGAUGGGAUGAGAGCUGGGUGCAGAGUGUGCUCCAUUUGGUUAUGGACACAUAACUCCUGGGCCAGAGGCUAAAACCCCGGGACCCCUGCUGUCCUUCCCGCAGCUUCUUCUCGGAGUCUCAGGGCAAACCCUUUCGAGCAGCGCCUCCCAGUGGCCAGAAGGUGAAAUGACGGCAGUGGUGCCGCCUGGUAAAUGAAUUGGUUCUGUGACCCGGGAAGCUGUGCUUGGCUCUGAUUUCUUUUCUGGAGGCUCGGAAACACUUCCUAUCUUCUUCUGUUCUUCACGCCCCAUGCCCCUGCUAGCGGAUUACUGUUCUGCGACUUCCGUGUGACCUCUGCAGUACUCCUCAUCCUGCGUUUGCUCUCCAGGUGUCAUCUUUCCGCCGUGUUCCUAACAUUUUGAUUCCUGUCUUGAAAAAAGCACCUGCUGCACUGUAAGCCCAGGGAUGUGGCAGCUGCAGUGGGCUUGGCUUUGUGAAGAACCGAGUGUGUCCACGGAUGUGGCAGCUGCAGCGGGCUUGGCUUUGUGAGGAACCGAAUGUGUCCAGGGAUGUGGCAGCUGCAGCGGGCUUGGCUUUGUGGGGAACCGAGUGUGUCCACAUUGGGGGAACAUCAUACUUGAUACACACGUUUUUAUUUGCACAAAGAAAAUGCUAUUUUUGGAGCCAGAGAUUUCAUGUCUGAUUGAUGGCGAUUUUCUUAAGAACCAGAACUGCUGGCAGAAAGGGAGCACCCACAUGCUUAGAUAGCUGAUGUCUUAUUAGAGGGCAGUUUGUGGUUCCUGAUUUGGAAAUUAACAUUCUCCAAACAUUCCAGUCCAAUGAAAGUUUUAUCCGCUUUCCCAUAUAAAAACUCUUCCCACUAGAGUGACUUGAUUCUCACAAUCCCGUUGGAGUCGUAUGUGAGUCCUACAGUGUGAGGUUCAGCAUUGCCAUCUCCAAGUGCUCUUCGUAGGGAAACAGUUUCUGGUCAUGACGAGGUUCCACUUCCCAUCUGAUCCCAGCC
rnacentral:lncRNA from 1 species